AUCCAGCUGACAAGUCAUAAAUAGGACGAAACGUGCGUCCUGGAU
rfam:Schistosoma haematobium scaffold175_24, whole genome shotgun sequence.